CAGGCGCGAAAACUUUACAAUGCCGGCAACGGCGAUAAGGGAACCUCGAGUGCCAGGUUACAAAUCUGGCUGUCGUGAUGCCUAAAAAGCAUUGCAUAGCAAGGGCCGGGCAAGACCGGUGCCAGCCGCCGCGGUAACACCGGCGGCUCGAGUGGUAACCGUUAUUAUUGGGUCUAAAGGGUCUGUAGCCGGCCGGGUAAGUCUCUUGGGAAAUCUGGCAGCUUAACUGUCAGGCUUUCAGGAGAUACUGCCUGGCUCGAGGCCGGGAGAGGUGAGAGGUACUUCAGGGGUAGGGGUGAAAUCUUGUAAUCCUUGAAGGACCACCAGUGGCGAAGGCGUCUCGCCAGAACGGACCUGACGGCAAGGGACGAAAGCUAGGGGCACGAACCGGAUUAGAUACCCGGGUAGUCCUAGCCGUAAACGAUACUCGCUAGGUGUCGGCCACGGUGCGACCGUGGUCGGUGCCGUAGGGAAGCCGUGAAGCGAGCCACCUGGGAAGUACGGCCGCAAGGCUGAAACUUAAAGGAAUUGGCGGGGGAGCAC
rnacentral:rRNA from 1 species